UUCUCUUUCAGCAUGGAGUUCAUGCUUACACAGUGCCUCGUUUCCUCUCAAUCCCCUAGCUUCACGUUCCCCGGUUCUGGAUCUGGUGCAUCCAAUGGAUGUAGCGGCCCGGCAGUCUCACCAGAUUCGCCGCGGUUUGCAAGGCAUCCUCGAUUCCUGGGUGCAGUUCGUGAGGUCGCCGAAGAUGAUCCCAGCGGCCGAUUCCCAGAUUUAUUAGAUACAGUUGAAGUUGUUCUGCGCCCAGACGUCAGCGAUUCAGAAGAGAAUAAGCCCAGCAGGGCGGAGAAUGUGUAUGUAGCCCUGGACGACAAGGUUGGAUGGGUUAGCAGGAAACGGCGGGAUGUCAUGCCAGACGAAAGACCAACAAGUGCAGACAGGGUCACCGCGCUGGAAAAAGCUCUAACCGGGUUUGCAGAUAGGGAUUCAGAUUCUGUUGUGACUCCGUCCGUUGGGCUAUCAUUUGACUCGAUAAAUGAGGCAUAUGAAUUCUACAACCUGUAUUCUUGGGAGUGUGGAUUUGGUGUUCGCUAUGCAAAGAGCAUGACGAAUGUAAAAGGGACAAAAUGCAUGCAGGAGUUCGUCUGCUGCUGCUCGAUAUGAGUCCUACAAACAAGUGUUCACUGUCUAAUGUGUCAUCUGUUACCAUGCUGUUUGUUGCAUAUCUAAAUGCAUUUUGGUUGGUUAUUUUCUUGCAGGGCAAACCAAAAGAAGCAAAUUCGAAGUCUACAUGGUGUCAAUGCCAAGCCAUGAUAAGGCUUCUCCAAACGGACGACGAAGGCUGGUACAUCAACGAAUUCAGGUCCAAACACAACCACCCCAUGUUGAACACUUGUGCUGAGAAGUUGCAUUUCCCAUCACAUAGGCAUAUUGACAAAUACACCCGUGAGCUUGUUUCCCAACUGAGACAGAACAAUGUUAAUCUGAGCAAGGUUUAUAGUAUAAUCGCAACAUUUUUUGGUAGAGUUGAGAAUGUGCCGUUCACCAAGAGAUGUUUAAGGACUCUGUGUGGGAAGCUUAGCAGGGAGCAAGCUGAUGACGAUGUGCGAAAGACAAUGGCUAUUUUUUCAGAAAUGAAAGCACAAGACAGCGAGUUCACAUACAACGUUCAGGUAGAUGAUGAGAGUAGGAUAUGGACCCUUAUGUGGACGAACGGGCGUAGCAAAACACAGUACCAUCACUUCAGUGACGUUAUCACCUUCGACACGACAUACAAAACAAACCUGUAUGAUAUGCCAUUUGGUCUGUUUGUGGGGGUGAAUAAUCAUUUUCAGAGUGUGCUUUAUGCGAGACGAGACCGAGGAUACAUUCAAAUGGAUUUUUGACGAGUUCGUGAAGAUGAUGGGUGGUAAAAAACCAAUUACUAUUCUAACAGAGCCAUGGAAAAGGCAAUUGAGGAGGUGUAUCCUGAAUCCACGCAUCGGUGGUGCAAAUGGCACGUGCUGAAGAAGGCCAAAGAAAACCUGGGUGCUCAUUACACCAAGAAGUCAGAUUUCAGGGCUGAAUUCCACAAGCUUGUGCAUGAGAUGCUGACUAUUGAUGAAUUCGAGGACGGCUGGGCAGCAUUGCUUGACAAAUAUUCACUGGAAACAAAUCCAUAUCUCAUGCAGAUCUGCGAGACUAGGCAGAAGUGCGCAAAACCUUACUUUGUCGGGAAAUUCUGUGCUCGCCGAACCAGCACUGGCAGGAGUGAGAGUGCAAACCAUAUGCUGAAGCAGUAUGUCCCCCCGUCAUGCUCAAUGAAUCUAUUUGUCAAGCAAUACAACAAGCUCCAGUUCGACCGAGAAUAGGAGGAAGGAUUCCAGGAGAAACGUACUAGACUGAGUCAUGCUGUGCUGAAGGUGAACACCUCUCUUGAAGUACACGCAAGCAAGAUAUAUACCAGGAAGAUGUUUGAGAUUUUUGGUGGCAUACUGUAUGAAUCUGGAAUGUAUGAUGUCGAAGAAAUCAUAGAGAAGCAGAAAUACAUAGUGACACACCGGAAAGCCGAGCUCCGUGAGAAGUGGUUCAAGUGCCGGUUUGAGGUCAACGUGUCUGAUAACCUUGGUUAUUUCUCGUGCAUUUGCGGUCUGUUUGAGCACAUGGGCAUGGUUUGCUGUCACUCGCUACAGGUGAUGGUUCUACUACGCCUAAAGCAGAUACCUUCGAGGCAUAUACUGAAAAGGUGGAGCAUACACGGCAGAGACAACCUGCCAUCGCAUCUGAAGCACUAUCAACAAGACAUGGUCCGCCGGAUGCGCCCACUUUCAGGCAUUCUGCUCUGUACAUCACUGCCCUGGAGGUUGCAAAUAUGGGGGACAGGAACCCGGCGGCUUUUGAGUUUAUGAUGACAGGCCUGGUUGAACUUAGAACAAGAGGCGCCGAGGUGUGCGCGUUCAAUGACGGCCUUGGCGUCAUUGAGCAACAGGUAUCCAACAAUGUAGUUCUUGGCGGUCCAAAAUCAAAGUUUGUCAACGGCAAGACAUCUUGCUCCGUAAGAAGUGUGGAAGGCAAUCGAACUAAAUCACGCGAUGCCGCGUCGGUGUCUGUGCAUCCUCCAAUUAGCCAGGGCUUAGAAGCAUCAUGCCCAAAUGGUGAUGGGUACAAUUCAGAUUUCUCUGAAGCCGCGUCCAGCCUGAUGGCCAAUGUUGAACAACAACUGCUUGCCCCGGAAAGAAAAAACAAACGAGGCCGCCAACCACUAGCCGUGAUAAAGCUCCUUAUGACAAAGGCAGCGCCAAGAGUUCUAGGUUCUGUUCCAUCUGCAGGGGCAAAGGUCACAAAGCCAGCACUUGCCCUGAUCGAGGUGAUAUCCCCAGAAAGGAAAGGAAGGUGGCCACAUGCGGCAAAUGUGGGGUUCCAGGGCACCGAAGGAUGACUUGCAGCAAGCCUCUCGUCUCGAUGAUGCCCGGUGUCCCUCCUUCACAUUAGACGGUGAAUUUCGUACGCUGAUUCCCCCGUGUAACAUUUGCUUAGCACUGGUAGAAAAAGGGCCUGUUGUGCCGGUUCGUAAGGGCCUUUUGUCCCGGUUCUGGAACCGGGACUAAAGGCUCGGUACUAAUGCCCUGUCCCUUUAGUCCCGGUUCAAUCCAGAACCGGGACAGAUGGGGCUCCACGUGGCCUGUGCGCGGAGCCCAGGCAGGAGAUCCUUUGGUCCCGGUUGGUGGCACCAACCGGGACCAAUAGGCAUCCACGCGUCAGCAUU
rnacentral:rRNA from 1 species